rnacentral:misc_RNA from 1 species
AAGUCGUAACAAGGUUUCCCUUCCGUCCCUACUGAAGCCUUUCGCAGCGACCUUAAACAAUUGCGCAGCCUACUUGUAAUAUGCGAGUACGGCAACACCAUGAAAUUGCUGAGACCCUUCUUAGGGAUCAGCGGCCCCGUGCGACUGCCCGGGUUCACAGAUCAAGUAAUGGUGGUCAUCGCAGAUGAUUAAGAUAUGACCGGUCUCCUCCAGAACUGGAGAACGCUGCACCCAAACGAAGUGCAGUGAGAAGAACGUUCCGUAGGUGAACCUGCGGAAGGAUCAUUAUUGAAAAGGGAA